UGCCCAACAGCUAGCCCACCCAUCAACCCCAAAUUUACCUUAUUUAUAUCCCCAAACACACCACCACCCAACAAACAAACCAUUUUUCCACCUAAGUACGGGCGACGAAAAAGGAUUUAGGAGCAACAGAGAAAGUACCGCAAGGGAAAGCUGAAAGAGUAAUGAAACAACCCAGUAAAGCACUAAAAAGCAGAGAACACCUCUCGUACCUUUUGCAUCAUGAUUUAGCCAGUAAAUCUUAAGCAAAAAGCAUUAUAGUUUAAUUCCCCGAAACUAAGCGAGCUACUCCAAGGCAGUCUAAUUUAUAGGACCACCCCGUCUCUGUGGCAAAAGAGUGGGAUGAACUUUGAGUAGAGGUGAUAGACCUACCGAGCCUAGUUAUAGCUGGUUGCCCGAAAACUGAAUAGAAGUUCAGCCCUUUAAAUUCUCCCUCCCUGCUGGUUCAAGACCUUAACACCGGACAAAAGAAAUUAAAGGAGUUAGUCAAAGGGGGUACAGCCCCUUUGAAACAAGACACAACUUUCCAAGGAGGAUAAAGAUCACAACAAACUUAAAGGUAAAUGUCUUAGUGGGCCUAAAAGCAGCCAUCUAUUCAGAAAGCGUUAAAGCUCGAGCAUACACAACCAACCUACUAAUAUAGACAGCACAAUCUCACCCCCCUUAAACCUAUCAGGCCGUUCCAUAAAAAUAUGGAAGCGUUUAUGCUAAAAUGAGUAAUAAGAGAAUCCCUUUCUCUCCCCGCACAAGUGUAAAUCGGAACGAACCAUUCACCGACCAUUAACGGCCCCAAAACAGAGAGGGCACUAGGCAAAAAACAAACAACUAGAAAACCACCCAGCCCCCUACCGUUACCCCCACACUGGUGUGCCAACCGGGAAAGACUAAAAGAAAAAGAAGGAACUCGGCAAACACAAGCCUCGCCUGUUUACCAAAAACAUCGCCUCUUGAAACCUAAAAUAUAAGAGGUCCCGCCUGCCCUGUGACUAUAG
rnacentral:rRNA from 1 species